UGCACGUCGAGGGUUUGAUUUAUCAAGCACAUGGCAUCCGGGUGAGUAACGCGUAGGUCAUCUGCCCCUAUCACAGACAUAACAGUUCUAACGGACUGCUAAUAUCUGAUGAGGCGAGCAAUCGUCAAAGCUUUGGCGGAUAGGGAUGAGCCUGCGUCUGAUUAGGUAGUUGGUGAGGUAAUGGCUCACCAAGCCUUCGAUCAGUAGCUGGUCUGAGAGGACGAACAGCCACACUGGAACUGAGACACGGUCCANACUCNUACGGGAGGCAGCAGUGAGGAAUAUUGGUCAAUGGGCGCAAGCCUGAACCAGCGACGCCGCGUGGGGGAUGAAGGGGCUUUGCCUCGUAAACCUCUGUCGGAUGGGACGAAAGGUGGCUUUGAGCCACUGGGACGGUACCAUCAAAGGAAGGAUCGGCUAACUACGUGCCAGCAGCCGCGGUAAUACGUAGGAUCCGAGCGUUGUCCGGAGUUACUGGGUGUAAAGGGUGCGUAGGCUGUUCUGUGCGUCAGAGGUGAAAUCCACGGGCUUAACUCGUGGGGUGCCUUUGAUAC
rnacentral:rRNA from 1 species